GCAUAUCAAUAAGCGGAGGAAAAGAAACUAACUAGGAUUCCCUUAGUAACGGCGAGUGAACCGGGAUGAGCUCAAAUUUAAAAUCUGGCGUCUUUCAGGCGUCCGAGUUGUAAUCUAUAGAGGCGUUUUCCGCGCCGGACCGCGUCCAAGUCUCUUGGAAUAGAGUAUCAAAGAGGGUGACAAUCCCGUACUUGACGCGACAACCGGUGCUCUGUGAUACGUUCUCAAUGAGUCGAGUUGUUUGGGAAUGCAGCUCUAAAUGGGUGGUAAAUUCCAUCUAAGGCUAAAUAUUGGCGAGAGACCGAUAGCGAACAAGUACCGUGAGGGAAAGAUGAAAAGCACUUUGGAAAGAGAGUUAAACAGCACGUGAAAUUGUUAAAAGGGAAACGAUUGAAGUCAGUCGUGUGAAAGGUAUUCAGCCGUCUCUGGCGGUGUAUUUGCCUUUCACGGGUUAACAUCAGUUUGAUCCGGUAGAAAAAGGCGGGAGGAAGGUGGCACCCUCGGGUGUGUUAUAGCCUCCUGUCAUAUGUGCCGGACCAGACUGAGGAACGCAGCUUGCCGCAAGGCCGGGGUUCGCCCACGUACAAGCUUAGGAUGUUGACAUAAUGGCUUUAAACGACCCGUCUUGAAACACGGACC
rnacentral:rRNA from 1 species